AGCGAACGCUGGCGGCAGGCCUAAUACAUGCAAGUCGAACGCACCUUCGGGUGAGUGGCGGACGGGUGAGUAACGCGUGGGAACGUGCCCUUUGGUACGGAACAACUGAGGGAAACUUCAGCUAAUACCGUAUGUGCCCUUCGGGGGAAAGAUUUAUCGCCAUUGGAGCGGCCCGCGUUGGAUUAGCUAGUUGGUGGGGUAAAAGCCUACCAAGGCGACGAUCCAUAGCUGGGUCUGAGAGGAUGAUCAGCCACACUGGGACUGAGACACGGCCCAGACUCCUACGGGAGGCAGCAGUAGGGAAUCUUGCGCAAUGGGCGAAAGCCUGACGCAGCCAUGCCGCGUGAAUGAUGAAAGGUCUUAGGAUUGU
rnacentral:rRNA from 1 species